ensembl:lncRNA
ACAACCACCAACAACUACAACAGCAGCUCCAACGACCACUACAACAACACCUCCAACCACUACAACAGUACCUUCGACCACAACAUCAACAACACUAACCACUACAACAGCACCUACGACCAUGAAAAUGACAACAACAACAACCACUACAACACCACCACCAACCACUACAACAGAACCUCCAACCACCACUACAACAUCACCAACCACUACAACACCAUCACCAACCACUACAACAGCAACUCCAGCCACCACUACAACAACACCACCAACCACUACAACAGCACCUCCAACCACCACUACAACAACACCAGCAACCACUACAACACCACCACCAACCACUACAACAGCUCCUUCGACCACAAUGACAACAACUACACCAACCAAUACAACAACAACACCACCAACCACUACAACAGCACCUCCAACUACAACACCAACCACCACUACAACAACAUCACCAACCACUACAACAACAUCACCAACCACUACACCAGCAACUCCAACCACCACUACACCAACACCACCAACCACCACAACAACAACACCAACCACCACAACAACAACACCACCAACCACCACAACAACAACACCACCAACCACUACAACAACAACAACACCAACCACUACAACAACACCACCAACCACUACAACAUCACCUCCAACCACCACAACAACAACAACACCAACCAAUAAAACAACAACACCAACCAAUACAACAACACCACCAACCACUACAACAGCACCUCCAACCACCACUACAACAACCCCACCAACCACUAAAACAUCACCACCAACCACUACAACAGCACCUCCAACUACCACUACAACAACACCACCAACCACUACAACAGCACGUCCGAACACCACUACAACAACAUUAACCACUACAACAGCACGUCCGAACACCACUACAACAACAUUAACCACUACAACAGCACCUCCAACCACCACUACAACACCACCACCAAGCCCUACAACAGCACCAUCAACCAUUACAACAGCGAAAGCCCUGCAAGCACUGGCACAUAUGAAGAUGAGGAUAACUACCUACGGAGAGGUCAGCAAUGCAACCAUCAUUAAACUUAUUGAAGAGUUUUUUAGCAACCAGAUCCUGAAUGGAACAGCCCACAGUCUCUCUGUGACAAAUAUUCAACAAGUGAGAGUUGGCCCAUAAAAGCUUUGCAUGGACAGAAGUCAAAAGUGACUGAAUAAAGACAACAAUUCAAGGAUGUACUUGGUUUAACAUAAUGUGAAGCAGCAGUAUGACUGAACUGUCAAGAGGUGUUAUCAGUUCUUCAGCUCGAGAAGCAGAGGUCACUCUGACAAGCCUGGUAACCAGAAAACUGUAAAGCAAGCUUCUUGCUUAUAUAGACAAAGAAAAGUGAGUGAAGCAUACCAAGUGCGUGAAUAUUGUCCCUCAAAUCGGGAAAAUCAAUUGUCUGUCAGAUAUUACUGGCAGAACUUGUUAUUAUGAGUGAUUCUGUUGUACUCAAGGUCACCUUUCCAGUUCAUUGGCAAGACAGAAUUUGAAAGCAUUCCUUUGUAUUUUACUUUAAAGAAUAACUAAAAUUUGGAGGAUGUACAACAUACUGUGUGUGCAGAGAAACUCUGAGAAAGUUUCUGUCAUGCAAGCCAACAUUGUUGAGUGAUUGUUUAAAUGUCUUAUUUGGCAAACUCCCUCUCUUGCCAUUCAAAUGUCAGGUGCAUUUUAAUGUUGGGAGAAAAUGUUUUGUUUUGUUUUUGUUUUAUAGCAAUAAAUCUAUGCAACAUA